rnacentral:rRNA from 1 species
GAGUUUGAUCCUGGCUCAGGACGAACGCUGGCGGCGUGCCUAAUACAUGCAAGUCGAACGAACUCUGGUAUUGAUUGGUGCUUGCAUCAUGAUUUACAUUUGAGUGAGUGGCGAACUGGUGAGUAACACGUGGGAAACCUGCCCAGAAGMGGGGGAUAACACCUGGAAACAGAUGCUAAUACCGCAUAACAACUUGGACCGCAUGGUCCGAGYUUGAAAGAUGGCUUCGGCUAUCACUUYUGGAUGGUCCCGCGGCGUAUUAGCUAGAUGGUGRGGUAACGGCUCACCAUGGCAAUGAUACGUAGCCGACCUGAGAGGGUAAUCGGCCACAUUGGGACUGAGACACGGCCCAAACUCCUACGGGAGGCAGCAGUAGGGAAUCUUCCACAAUGGACGAAAGUCUGAUGGAGCAACGCCGCGUGAGUGAAGAAGGGUUUCGGCUCGUAAAACUCUGUUGUUAAAGAAGAACAUAUCUGAGAGUAACUGUUCAGGUAUUGACGGUAUUUAACCAGAAAGCCACGGCUAACUACGUGCCAGCAGCCGCGGUAAUACGUAGGUGGCAAGCGUUGUCCGGAUUUAUUGGGCGUAAAGCGAGCGCAGGCGGUUUUUUAAGUCUGAUGUGAAAGCCUUCGGCUCAACCGAAGAAGUGCAUCGGAAACUGGGAAACUUGAGUGCAGAAGAGGACAGUGGAACUCCAUGUGUAGCGGUGAAAUGCGUAGAUAUAUGGAAGAACACCAGUGGCGAAGGCGGCUGUCUGGUCUGUAACUGACGCUGAGGCUCGAAAGUAUGGGUAGCAAACAGGAUUAGAUACCCUGGUAGUCCAUACCGUAAACGAUGAAUGCUAAGUGUUGGAGGGUUUCCGCCCUUCAGUGCUGCAGCUAACGCAUUAAGCAUUCCGCCUGGGGAGUACGGCCGCAAGGCUGAAACUCAAAGGAAUUGACGGGGGCCCGCACAAGCGGUGGAGCAUGUGGUUUAAUUCGAAGCUACGCGAAGAACCUUACCAGGUCUUGACAUACUAUGCAAAUCUAAGAGAUUAGACGUUCCCUUCGGGGACAUGGAUACAGGUGGUGCAUGGUUGUCGUCAGCUCGUGUCGUGAGAUGUUGGGUUAAGUCCCGCAACGAGCGCAACCCUUAUUAUCAGUUGCCAGCAUUAAGUUGGGCACUCUGGUGAGACUGCCGGUGACAAACCGGAGGAAGGUGGGGAUGACGUCAAAUCAUCAUGCCCCUUAUGACCUGGGCUACACACGUGCUACAAUGGAUGGUACAACGAGUUGCGAACUCGCGAGAGUAAGCUAAUCUCUUAAAGCCAUUCUCAGUUCGGAUUGUAGGCUGCAACUCGCCUACAUGAAGUCGGAAUCGCUAGUAAUCGCGGAUCAGCAUGCCGCGGUGAAUACGUUCCCGGGCCUUGUACACACCGCCCGUCACACCAUGAGAGUUUGUAACACCCAAAGUCGGUGGGGUAACCUUUUAGGAACCAGCCGCCUAAGGUGGGACAGAUGAUUAGGGUGAAGUCGUAACAAGGUAGCC